rnacentral:rRNA from 1 species
AAUCAACGCUGGCGGCGCGCCUAACACAUGCAAGUCGAGCGAGAAAGCCUCCGCAAGGGGGUGAGUAAAGCGGCGCACGGGUGAGUAACACGUGGGCAACCUACCCUUCAGUGGGGGAUAGCCUGGGGAAACCCGGGCUAAUACCGCAUAACAUCUUUCGGGCUGCGGCCUGGGAGAUCAAAGGAGCAAUUCGCUGAAGGAGGGGCCUGCGGCCGAUUAGCUAGUUGGUGAGGUAACGGCCCACCAAGGCCAAGAUCGGUAGCCGGUCUGAGAGGACGCACGGCCACACUGGAACUGAAACACGGUCCAGACUCCUACGGGAGGCAGCAGUGGGGAAUCUUGCACAAUGCCCGAAAGGGUGAUGCAGCGACGCCGCGUGAGUGAUGAAGGCCUUCGGGUCGUAAAGCUCUUUCGGUGGGGACGAUAAUGACGGUACCCGCAGAAGAAGCCCCGGCAAACUACGUGCCAGCCGCCGCCGUAAUAC